AUUUCAGGCUCUGCUGUGUCAAGUCGGGGAGCGGCUCUUUGCUCAGCUUAGAGAACUGGAAGAGGCCGCAACCUUCUGCCUGCUGGAGGCUGGAGGAUGGAUGGAGCCUGGAGCCUGGGACACUACCUUGCUGUGGUUGGUGGUGGCGACAGAGCAGUAAGAGGGUGGCCGGCAGCAGGAGCUUGUCCUGCUGGGCUGGAGGACUAGGAGAAGGAAGAGGCACCACCACAUGCUGGAGGCUGAAGCCUGGAGUCUGUGCCACCAUGGCUCGCCUCGCUGUGGUUGGUGGUGACGCUGGAGACUGCAGCUGGGCCACAGUGGUAGAAAUGUGAUGGGGUUUUUGGGGAACAGGUGGCGUUUGAUUGUAAGAGUAAGUUCCUUAGAGGUUGAAUAAUUUUGAUGGGCAGAAGUGUUCUAAAGUAUGCUUUUAUAAACCUCAUAUCACAGUAAUCCAUUGUUGAAACAUGGCUUAAUGCAUGUUUUAGGAUGGGUGAAGGAAGGAGAGAAGGGAAAAAGAAAAGAUGAAGAAAGGAAGAAAAAAAGAAAAAAGAAGGUGAAGGAAAGAGAGAGGAAGAAAGAAAAUGAAAAUAUGAGCAUGUUAUGAAGAAAACUGAAAAUAUGUAAUUAUUUUUUCUUAAUUUUAGCAGGUGUAGAAACUCUUAAGGCUGAUGAUGAGAUAGCUAUUUUUGCCAUAAAUUACAUGAAUUAUAUUCAUUUUUACAUUCUUAUAAUACAGCAUUAGAAUAUGUUGUGUUAUACGUAGACUCCUUAGAAGAUACACAUAAAUAAAAGAAAAAAAUUAAAAGCUGCUUUCAACUUACUAUCAUUCAUGUCCAUCU
rnacentral:lncRNA from 1 species